GGCUUAUAAUUAUAAGUUAAGUUUUUAUGUAUGCAUGCAGUUAUAGCUAUUAGCCAGGCAAAAUAUAUUUAUAUAGCAAGAUAUCUAUAAAUCUAGAUAUAGAAAUGGAUCCCCAUAAUGAUUCUAGGAGACAACGCCAGAGGAGCAGCCAGAGCAUCCAGAGCGAAAGGGAUCCGAGCUUUUUAGACAGGACUCUUAAUACGCUGGGUUUUUGUGGGACUAAAACAUUAAUUCAGAACCUCCAGCAAAAAAUACAAGACCAGGAUGUGGUAAUCAAAGACCAGGAUACCAAGUUACAAAGCUUGUCUGUCAAACUAAAUGCUGAAUUUGGGCAACGUCAAGGGAAUUCUUUAGAAGACACUGAUGUGACAUCAUUGUGGAAUGAACUGUUUCUGUAUAAUGAAGCUGAGAGCUCGAGAGGCACAUCCACUUCACAAAAAAAUGAAACUCGUAGAGUCUUCUGUGAUAUAUUUAUGGAAAUCUAUGGCAGUGUACAAAAACAGCUCAUUGAGAGAAUGACUGCGUGCUUGAGGACUAUUUUCUCUUCUACUCAACCAAAUCCUGGGAGCUCAAAAAUAUAUCUCAAAGAUGUCCAGCGUGCUUUUUCUAUCCUUGUGUGGUUUGUUGAAAUCCCAACAAAUACGAAAGACUUCAGGCUAUCCAAAAUUGAUGAAAGAGCACAGACAGUACUCAUUGAGAGAAUGGCUGAAUGUUUGAGGGAUCUUUUCAUUCUUAAAAAAGCGUGGAAACCUGGGACUACUCAGAGCACUGAUUACCUGAAAGAUGUCCAGCGUGCUUUUUCUAUCCUUAUCUCGAUGGUGAAAGAGGAGGUCUUUGUGACUUCUGUAAGUCAUUACACUGCAUGUUGCAUGCUGCAUAAUUAUAAUUAUUAUGCGUGAUAUAAUUUAUAGCAUAAUUAUGUAUUAGUUAUUGCCCAGCAUGCAUGAGUGCAACAUGCCAUAUAUUUUACUGGAUGACGUGAUGCCCUCGGGCGCCUGCAAUAACUAACUUGUUGCCCAAUGACAUCAAAUUCUUCUGAUUGGUAAAUUUUUCCCUAUAAAUUGUAAUAAAAGACGUGCAUGCAUGUGUUUUGAGUGGAAUUUUAGUGAAUACAUUAGUUUGUUGAAUUUCAGUAAAUUCUAAGGUUUUGUUUCCACAACUAAUGAAAGGUAGAGUAUAUAGCCUAUAAAAGGGACCAAAUGAGUGAUUGGGUGGGUUGGUCCCAAAAGUAGAUUUCUUUCUAAAAAAACUACUGCAUUUGCAUAUAACCCCAGUGCAUUAUAUGCCAUAAUUAUAAUGCAGUGCAAUACAUGGUUGCUAUAAUUAUGCCUCGAGGCGUAGCCACACAAGGGAUACGGUAAAGCCCCCUCUGUGUGUGUGUGUGUGUGUGUGUGUGUGCACUGUAAAAACAGGGUGGUGACCGUCACUACCAAAUGUGGUGAUGGUCACUACAUAAGCGAAUCACUACAUGGUGGUGAUUUAUGUACCGUAUAGCGCGAAAUUUUCGAGGCACUUAUAUUUCGUGGAUUGGCCUCUAAAAGCCAUUUCGUUGCACAAUGUUCGCGGAAUGACUGCUUACCGGAAGCCACGCCUUUAGAUCUUGCACGUUAUAGCAGGUAAAGAACGAUUUUCGUGGACUUAAUUUUCGUGUAGGAUUGCUAACCCACGAAAUCCACGAAAAUUAAGCCCCUCGAAAAUUUCGCGCUAUACGGUAUGUGGUGAUCCUCACUACCAAUCACAGUGACGGUCACUACCUAAGUCCUACCACAUAGCUCAAUACCAACUGUGGUGACGGUCACUACCAAAGUCCUUCACUACAUUCAACCUCCGCCAUGUCUCUAUAGUACUGUCCUAAGUCCUUCAUCACAGUGUGCAUGCAGUGGUACCUCUCACUUAACUUACUGUUCCCUGUACCUUCUCAUGUGUGAGGUCACAAGCUCCAUUAAUUAUUAUUUUAUAGAUAAUUAUAGGCAUGCAGCAUGCAAUGUGAUACUUUAAUAUUUCAUGGUGAAAGUCACAAGUUGUCAUUUUUACGGUCUAUCCUGCUACCGUCGAAGACCAAGUCAGAAGAAUACAACGGACUAUAAAUAUUCUAUAUCAGUGCAUGACGACUGUUUGGUCGGCUACUUACUAUAAUUAUAAUUAUACGAUAAUGUAAUGGUGUCUUUUUAAUAUCCACCACUGACUGUAAACUUGAAACAACAUGAAGUUUACCUAACACACUUGCGGUACACAAUUUUAAUAUUGUUCUUGUAUAGCUACAAUUGCUCCUCCCCUAACAAUGAUGACAAACUGGGACAUAAAUAAUACGACCACUCCCCACAGGUACAGACGUAAGCUUUGGUUGUAACUUUAAGGCAAUCAGCAUCAAUAAUAAUUAUGCCGUUAAAUCUAAGGGAGUGACAAACUCAGGCAGAUGCUUGAUGGAUCUAGUUUGCUGACUAAAUAUAAAGGCUGCAAAGAGGCCCCAUGGUGCCCUGAUAUCUCACUAAGCUUUUUUGCCUGAGCAGCAUUCCAUAUUCUGCAAUAAAAGAGAAGCAUGAGAUUAUUAAUCCAUAGACGUAUAAUGUUACUGCUAGCUUGAACAGUUACAAUGGCAUAUCUGCAUUCAUAUUAAGGCCAGUACACAAUAAUAAAAGAUUUUACCAAACAAAAUAAUUAACAAUUGAUUCACACACGUAUUUACAAAUACAAUUACUAGUUGAAGCGAUGUAUUAAUUGUGUAACAUCUUUGAAAAGAGGUUUCUGUACCUGGUCGAUCAACACGCAACACGACUUACUGCUAACCCGUACCAGGUAGAUCUAGAUUUAGUGGUCUAUUUUACAGAAACUGAGUCACCAAGACAUAGUCAACACGCAACCCGGCUUACUGUUAACCAUAAUUGCCUCAGUAAAACAGUUCAUGGAAUGCUUUUACUAUAAGAUGUUACACGACAUCAACAUGCUCCAUAUCUAAGCUACAUGAUUCAACACUAUUCAUCCACACACUACUAUUCCUUAUCCUUUGGUAGCAGCAAUAAUUAUAAGACUGCCAAAUGCCUUUCCUUGUCACUGAAUUGAACUGUAAUAGGAAGAUCUAGUUAGCUUGCUAGCUCCUUCCAUGGCCAUAUCCAUAUCUUCACUUGCGCGCUCUUGUUUGUUGAAUAGACCUAUGACCAAAUAAGGGCACGUGCAAUUAUGCAGCUGCAGAUUUGCAGCUGCACACAUCAACAAAAAUUUAUUUGCUGGAGUUUUUAAGGAAGCAGACAAGUUGAGCUUUUAGAGAACGCUUUGAGAGUUGUUUGACAAAACUGUGUAACUAGAACUGAAUUUCUCCUGAAGGACAAGCAAAGCGCAAGUAAACACUUCAUUAGGGCUUAAACAAGGGGAGACCAAAGCCCAUUGCCCUAAGCUUCAUUCAGCAUGCACAACACAAGAUAUGAAGUAAAAAAAAACGUGUGGAGCAACCAUACUACUGGACACCCUAAGUAUAGACAUAAAUCAAGGAGGAGGGAGGAGGUUGGGAUGUAAAGACAGCCAAGAACUGAUGAUCAACUCAAGCCAUUAGACACUGUCAUUAUUAUACUCUGUUAGGCUAGUAAGCAUAAUGCUUGUUAUUAUUUUCUGUGCACAUUUUCAGAAUUUUUGUAUAGUGAUUUUUACUAGUUCUGGUGAUGUUCACUACCUAAAUGUAGUGAUCGUCACUACUUAAAUGUAGUGAUUUGAAAAAGUGGUGAGGGUCACCAGUCGAUUUGCGGUGACUAUUGUGGCAGCCGUUUCACUACCUUUUGGUGGUGACGGUCACUUUCCAGUUUUUACAGUGUGUAUUCCAGCGGUAACUGAUCA